rnacentral:rRNA from 1 species
UACGUAGGGAGCAAGCGUUGUCCGGAAUCAUUGGGCGUAAAGCGCGCGUAGGCGGCCCGAUAAGUCCGUUGUGAAAGUCAAAGGCUCAACCUUUGAAUGCCGAUGGAUACUGUCGGGCUAGAGUCCGGAAGAGGCGAGUGGAAUUCCUGGUGUAGCGGUGGAAUGCGCAGAUAUCAGGAGGAACACCGAUAGCGAAGGCAGCUCGCUGGGACGGUACUGACGCUGAGGCGCGAAAGCGUGGGGAGCGAACAGG